rnacentral:rRNA from 1 species
UACAGAGACUGCAAGCGUUAUUCGGAUUCACUGGGCGUAAAGGGUGCGCAGGCGGCCGUGUGUGUGAGGCGUGAAAGCCCGGAGCUCAACUCCGGAAUUGCACCUCAAACUACAUGGCUAGAGCAUUGGAGAGGGUAGCGGAAUUCACGGUGUAGCAGUGAAAUGCGUAGAUAUCGUGAGGAACACCAGAGGCGAAGGCGGCUACCUGGACAAUUGCUGACGCUCAGGCACGAAAGCGUGGGGAGCAAAAGGG